UACAGAGGUUGCAAACGUUGUUCGGAAUCACUGGGCAUAAAGCGCACGUAGGCGGUCUGUUAAGUCAGGUGUGAAAGCCCCCGGCUCAACCGGGGAACAGCAUCUGAUACUGGCAGACUCGAGGAUGGUAGGGGUGAGUGGAACUCCAGGUGGAGCGGUGAAAUGCGUAGAUAUCUGGAGGAACACCGGUGGCGAAAGCGGCUCACUGGACCAUAACUGACGCUGAGGUGCGAAAGCUAGGGGAGCAAACGGG
rnacentral:rRNA from 1 species